rnacentral:misc_RNA from 1 species
AACUUAAUCAACCACUGAAAGGGUGGCUUGGAUUGUGGGGGGUUCAUUUGCAGGCUUUUUCUCUUUGAAGUCAGCUCCCCUGAAACACAUUAGCAGUGUCUGAGCUGCUACUGCAGGUGUGAUAAAAUAUCUAUGCCUUUGGUAUGCUGCAUGAAUGGAUUGUGCUGCUCAAAACCCAGAAAA